GACUUUUCGACGUUGAGCGAAAAAGGGAAUUGAUACACACUCCAUAGGAGCUUACACACAUAAAGGCGAAAGGUAAGUGAAAAUCCAUUUGCAACUACGAUGCAAGAACCUAGUAUAUGUGACAUAGUAAUGUUGAAAUAUCUACAUAACUUUCAUAAGAGGCUUAUAGCACAUCAUAUGGUGGUUACGAUCAUUGAGUAUGAGAUUGCGUAACCUAUUGACAUCGAUUUUCAUUUAUGAGCAUUUUCAUAUGCAUGCACGACAUGUAACAUGGUUGAAAAUACUGCAUGCAAAAUAUGAUUUCAAAGUGAGUUUCAGUAUAAAUGUUUUAUUGACCACUACUAGGGCACCGAGGCAUGUGAGGCAUGCUUAUGUGAUAUGUUUGGCAUUGUGGGUGUUACUUCCUGGGUGAUUGCAAAGGUAGAUAGGGGAUGGGCAUUUGGUGAUCACGGGAGGGCGGACCACUCGACUAUGCCCUUGUUAUGAUCAUUGGCGCUGUCGGGUGGGAGACUUCUUGGGUGAUAAUAGGGGUAGUCAGGGGAUGGGCCUCUAGUGGUCACGAGAGGAUGGUCCACUCGCCGGUGUCGAUUUCAUAUUGGCCACUUGAUUAUUGAUAUUGAUAUUAUGCAGAGCUCUAUCCGGUGCAUAGUAGGUGGGUCAAGGGCCCAAUGAAAUGAAAGAUUUCAAGUGAAAUGAUUUCUAGUCGACUUUGACGAAUAUUGAAAUAUGAUACUUUUUAUCGUGAUAUUUAAAGUAAAUGGCAUGGUGUCAUAUGUUGUUAUUACUCAUGUUCAGGACAUGCAUGAUUUUGCUUACUAAGCAUUGGCUUAUGUAGUUCUUGCAUUGUAGGUGAACACGGAACUACAUAGAGAGCAUGGCUAGCUGUGGAGCUCCUACAGGAUUCCAGAGUUCGAUGUACAUGGAUGACGACCUGUAGGGUUAUUUUGUAGGCUACCAUCUGUUGGGUUAUAUUUUGG
rnacentral:lncRNA from 1 species